UUUUAGAAUGUGCACAUAAGGUACUUCUCAGAGAACAUUUAAGGAUGGAGAUUUAUGCCCAUUUUGAUGGGAAAGGUGCUUCCAUGGACUUCUUAGGAAGACGGGGAUUGUGAGGAGAGACCGAGACAGAUGAGAGCUGGGUAGAGAAAUGGCGAGGGACGAAAUGCCACGAUCUGCAACCUGCUAACCAUUGUGGCUAAGGACGAAGGGGAAUCAUGUUAUGUCUAUCUUAAAAUAAGUUCGAGGAAUAAACCUUAUAAUGGGCCAUGGAAAGAUUCAUCAAGAAAUGAGAGAAGUGACUGAGACGAGAAAAGAUGACAUCGAAUUACACGCACCGAACGUCCGGACCAUGUGUCCGAUGGCUUGAUUAUGAUGUCUUCAUUGUAGGGAUUUCCUAUUCAUGUAUUAUUCAAAGUCAAGCUUAGUGAAUUGCACUAGUGCACAUGUGUUUCUGAAGCAGGGUUAUACCUAGAAUUAAAGACUAAGGAAGCUUGUCUUAAUUGGUGUCAUGGAGAUGUCAUGGAGAGAAUGGGUAUGUUCAGAACUUACAGUAGUGAUGACCUUUGUUGGUGGCUUCAGAUCUGUGGUAUCAUAUUUAUUGUGAAUAUCAAUUUUGCACUGAUCAUGACCAAGUAGAACAGAGAUAAAUGUCUCAUAAAAACUUCACAUGAGAUAUUUAGGCUGGUGUCGGUUCAGGUAUUAUAGUUUACCCAUUUGAAUAUACAAUAUUGUGGGAAUUUUCAUUUAGUUUCUCUUUUUUCUAUAAACAAUGCACCACUUUGAACCUCUGUUGUAUACGAUUCAUUUUGAGGAAUUCUGAGUCAUAUUUUCAUUAUACUUACUAUUGUUUAUCAACUAGAAAAGAAGGAUCUCCCAAUGUAGUAACGAAUACCAAACAUGGGAUACUUGCCAUGUCCGUGCUCAAUAUAAAGCAGCUUCCCUGGACAAUGAUGCUCUUGUCCUACUACCAUGGAAAUACUGAUAUGCUAAGCACUGCCCUUUAACCAUAAUUAUGGGUCUUAAAUAUUGACCACAAAGAAACAACAUUUUAAUGAUUGAUUGCUUCAGUGCCUAUUUUCUAGAGAUUUUUCAUGUUAUCUUGCAUAUUUUUUUCU